GACGAACGCUGGCGGCGCGCCUAACACAUGCAAGUCGAACGGAGCUGAGAGAAGCUUGCUUUUCUUAGCUUAGUGGCGAACGGGUGAGUAACGCGUGAGUAACCUGCCCUGGAGUGGGGGACAACAGUUGGAAACGACUGCUAAUACCGCAUAAGCCCACGAUCCGGCAUCGGAUUGAGGGAAAAGGAUUUAUUCGCUUCAGGAUGGACUCGCGUCCAAUUAGCUAGUUGGUGAGGUAACGGCCCACCAAGGCGACGAUUGGUAGCCGGACUGAGAGGUUGACCGGCCACAUUGGGACUGAGACACGGCCCAGACUCCUACGGGAGGCAGCAGUGGGGGAUACUGCACAAUGGGGGAAACCCUGAUGCAGCGACGCCGCGUGGAGGAAGAAGGUUUUCGGAUUGUAAACUCCUGUCGUUAGGGACGAUAAUGACGGUACCUAACAAGAAAGCACCGGCUAACUACGUG
rnacentral:rRNA from 1 species